CAUAACGACUCUCGGCAACGGAUAUCUCGGCUCUCGCAUCGAUGAAGAACGUAGCAAAAUGCGAUACGUGGUGUGAAUUGCAGGAUCCCGUGAACCAUCGAGUUUUUGAACGCAAGUUGCGCCCGAAUCCUUUAGGACGAGGGCACGUCUGCCUGGGCGUCACGC
rnacentral:rRNA from 1 species